rnacentral:lncRNA from 1 species
CUUGCGCCGUUCUAGGAAGCAAGACUUUCAUUUCUGCUUUUCUCAGAAAACACGUGAGCCGCAGCCCCGGUCGGGGGGGGUGUGGGGGGGGAAUCUCCCUCCGCGCCCCACCCUGGCACUCGCUCCCGACCCCUUUCCGGGUCCCGGCGGCUUGGUGCCGGCCCCGCUUUCCCGGGCUCCCGAGUGGAGGGGAGGGCGAGCCAGCCCGAUUGCAGCUGGCCCAGGCUGGGUGCACGGCGUGGGCCGGCCGCUGGGUGCUCGGGGUGGUGCAGGUCUUCACGGGGCUCGUGCUCCUCGGGCUCGGCGGCACCUUGUUCUUCGCUUCCGGCGACCGCGAGCUGUGCAUCGCCUACUGGUACCCGCUCUGGGGGGCCGCGCUGUAUGUCGUCGCCGGCUAUUACAUCUCCUCCGCGGCUACAAACCCCUCGAGACGUCUGGUGUCCUGCAGCGCCGUCUCCAGCUGCCUCGGCUUCCUCGCCUCGCUGGUGGGAGCUGUGCUCCUGGCCCUGGACCUGCUGCGGGUUUCCUUCCGCCACCCGCUCCGGGGCGUCUUCGCCGUGUCCCYGCUCUGCGAGAGGAGCAGCGUCCUGGCUGAGCACUGCCGCAGGCUCCUGAUCUACGAGCUGGUGAGCUGGCGGGGGCUGGCGGGACGGGCAGGGGGGCCGGCGUGCGGGCGCAGACGGUGCUGAGGCCAAGCUGGUGGUGCAGUGCCCUGUYGUCUCCGCUGAGAGUGGGGCUGGUGGCAUCUGGGCUCCCAAGGGGGGGUUGUUUAACCCCAUGCGCCAGGACAGGUUGGGGUUGACCUGCUGGAAAGCAGCUCUGCGGAGAAGGACCUGGGAGUGCUGGUGGACACCAAGUGAAGCAUGAGG